CAGGAAUCUUCAUAAGGAGUUGACCUCUGCACUUCUCAAAGUCAUCAAAAUAAGCCUCCACUGUAGAAGUCUGCUGUAACUUCUUAAAUUUGUCAAAAACUAGUUCAGUAUCAGCCUCUCCAAACCUGGCCAGAAAAGCCUGAGUAAAUUGCCUCCAAGUGGCAUUAUUCCUCCCAAUCAUAAAGGACUUGUACCAAGAUCUUGGCACUCCACUGAGGUGCAUUGCAGCAAUAGCUGCUCUUUUCCUGUCAACCACCUCAU
rnacentral:lncRNA from 1 species